rnacentral:rRNA from 1 species
UAACGAAUAUUGGGCAAUGGGCGAAAGCCUGACCCAGCAAUGCCGCGUGCAGGACGAAGUCCUUCGGGAUGUAAACUGCUGUCAGGGGUCCGCAAGCGAAGGGGUCCAACAGGCCCUGGAGUUGAGCAGCCCCAGAGGAAGCCUCGACUAACUCUGUGCCAGCAGUCGCGGUAAGACAGAGGAGGCAAGCGUUGUUCGGAAUCACUGGACUUAAAGCGCGUGUAGGCGGCUUAGAAAGUGUCGUGUGAAAUCCCGCGGCUUAACCGCGGAACUGCACGGCAAACUACGUGGCUUGAGGUCGGGAGAGGUGCGUGGAACUCUAGGUGGAGCGGUGAAAGGCGUAGAUAUCUAGAGGAACGCCAGAAGCGAAAGCGGGGCACUGGGCCGAUUCUGACGCUGAGACGCGAAAGCGUGGGGAGCAAACA